UCGGGAAUUUUGGGCAAUGGGCGAAAGCCUGACCCAGCAACGCCGCGUGAGGGAUGAAGUAUUUCGGUAUGUAAACCUCGAAAGAAUGGGAAGAAUAAAUGACGGUACCAUUUAUAAGCUCCGGCUAACUACGUGCCAGCAGCCGCGGUAAUACGUAGGGAGCAAGCGUUUUUCGGAUUUACUGGGCGUAAAGGGCGCGUAGGCGGCGCGGUAAGUCACUUGUGAAAUCUCUGAGCUUAACUCAGAACGGCCAAGUGAUACUGCUGUGCUAGAGUGCGGAAGAGGCAACCGGAAUUCUUGGUGUAGCGGUGAAAUGCGUAGAUAUCAAGAGGAACACCUGAGGCGAAGGCGGGUUGCUGGGCCGACACUGACGCUGAUGCGCGAAAGCCAGGGGAGCAAACG
rnacentral:rRNA from 1 species